rnacentral:rRNA from 1 species
AACACGUGAGUAACCUGCCCUUGACUCUGGGAUAAGCCUGGGAAACUGGGUCUAAUACCGGAUAUGACCGUCUGACGCAUGUCAUGGUGGUGGAAAGCUUUUGUGGUUUUGGAUGGACUCGCGGCCUAUCAGCUUGUUGGUGGGGUAAUGGCCUACCAAGGCGACGACGGGUAGCCGGCCUGAGAGGGUGACCGGCCACACUGGGACUGAGACACGGCCCAGACUCCUACGGGAGGCAGCAGUGGGGAAUAUUGCACAAUGGGCGGAAGCCUGAUGCAGCGACGCCGCGUGAGGGAUGACGGCCUUCGGGUUGUAAACCUCUUUCAGUAGGGAAGAAGCGAAAGUGACGGUACCUGCAGAAGAAGCGCCGGCUAACUACGUGCCAGCAGCCGCGGUAAUACGUAGGGCGCAAGCGUUAUCCGGAAUUAUUGGGCGUAAAGAGCUCGUAGGCGGUUUGUCGCGUCUGCUGUGAAAGACCGGGGCUCAACUCCGGUUCUGCAGUGGGUACGGGCAGACUAGAGUGCAGUAGGGGAGACUGGAAUUCCUGGUGUAGCGGUGAAAUGCGCAGAUAUCAGGAGGAACACCGAUGGCGAAGGCAGGUCUCUGGGCUGUAACUGACGCUGAGGAGCGAAAGCAUGGGGAGCGAACAGGAUUAGAUACCCUGGUAGUCCAUGCCGUAAACGUUGGGCACUAGGUG